AGCUGAUUGAGAAACAAUGGAAUUCCAGUAAAUCUCGAGAUUGUCCACGAUGGUAAAUAUAUCUUCAUCCAUCUGUACACAUUGCUCGUAUCAACGGCGUCACCUCUGAAACAACCUGUUGCCUUCUGCAGAUAUCGGACAACCUGCACAACUUACUUCCACAAAAUUUGAAUGGCAGCACUUUGCUUUUGAUUGAAAAACAUUAUUUAACUGCAAUGAAGAAUGACAUGAAGAAGGGCUACAAAAGUUAGUCUACCAACAUAUGCAAUUUAAACAACAUAAGGCAGGUGUUAAAAAGGCUCCUUCUAAAAUCAAGAAAAAGGAAAACCGAAAUGUGUUAUUUUUGUAUAUGAAUUGCGUCGGGUUCCUAGUUGUACUGAAAACAAGAGCGAAUACGAAGUUACUGAGUAAUGCAGUUCUGUUCAACUACACAAACACAAAAACAAAAACAAAAAAAUUGAGCUGUGGAAGAUGGAGCACAU
rnacentral:lncRNA from 1 species